rnacentral:lncRNA from 1 species
CCGACCGCCUCUCCGCCGCUGUCCGCUUCUCCGCCACGCCGGCACCGGCGCUGUGUGCCUUUGCAAGGGCGGAGCUGCGUUCUCCUCGGCACAGACCCGGAGAGCAUUGCGAGGGCGGAGCUGCGUUCUGCUCUGCAUAGACCUUGGGGCACUGCCUCGCUUUGGGACAACUCGGGGCCGCAUCGACGGUGAAUAAAAUCCUUCCUGUUUGCAGCCAUGUUUGUGGUUGGUGGCAGCGAUGGAGACUGCAGCCAGCCAGUGUAGAAAGGCAUUGGGUGAAAGAAGAUUGCCACGGAGACAGAGAGCAGCAUGGUCAGUGUGGUAGGAGCCGGCCAUCAGCGAGAGCUGCUCCAUGCCUGGCUGCUGGGAGCUAGAGCCUGCGGCCCACUGGCUUGCCUCACUGUAGUUGGUGGUGGCAGUGACAGAGACUGCAGCAUGACCAGAGUGGCUUUUCUGGCUUUGCCCGCCCAGCUGCUCCAUGCCAGGAGGAGGAGGAGACACCUAGAGCCUGCAACACCACGGCUCACCUCGCUGCGGGUGGGUGGCAGUGACGGAGACUGCAGUGCG